rnacentral:rRNA from 1 species
GAUGAACGCUGGCGGCGUGCCUAAUACAUGCAAGUCGAGCGAACAGACGAGGAGCUUGCUCCUCUGACGUUAGCGGCGGACGGGUGAGUAACACGUGGAUAACCUACCUAUAAGACUGGGAUAACUUCGGGAAACCGGAGCUAAUACCGGAUAAUAUAUUGAACCGCAUGGUUCAAUAGUGAAAGACGGUUUUGCUGUCACUUAUAGAUGGAUCCGCGCCGCAUUAGCUAGUUGGUAAGGUAACGGAUUACCAAGGCAACGAUGCGUAGCCGACCUGAGAGGGCGAUCGGCCACACUGGAAAUGAGACACGGUCAAGACUCCUACGAGAGGCAGCAGUAGGGAAUCUUCCGCAAUGGGCGAAAGCCUGACGGAGCAACGCCGCGUGAGUGAUGAAGGUCUUCGGAUCGUAAGACUCUGUUAUUAGGGAAGAACAAAUGUGUAAGUAACUAUGAACGUCUUGACGGUACCUAAUCAGAAAGCCACGGCUAACUACGUG